rnacentral:rRNA from 1 species
CUUGCUCUUCUUGGAUGAGUUGCGAACGGGUGAGUAACGCGUAGGUAACCUGCCUUGUAGCGGGGGAUAACUAUUGGAAACGAUAGCUAAUACCGCAUAACAAUGGAUGACACAUGUCAUUUAUUUGAAAGGGGCAAUUGCUCCACUACAAGAUGGACCUGCGUUGUAUUAGCUAGUAGGUGAGGUAAUGGCUCACCUAGGCGACGAUACAUAGCCGACCUGAGAGGGUGAUCGGCCACACUGGGACUGAGACACGGCCCAGACUCCUACGGGAGGCAGCAGUAGGGAAUCUUCGGCAAUGGGGGCAACCCUGACCGAGCAACGCCGCGUGAGUGAAGAAGGUUUUCGGAUCGUAAAGCUCUGUUGUAAGUCAAGAACGGGUGUGAGAGUGGAAAGUUCACACUGUGACGGUAGCUUACCAGAAAGGGACGGCUAACUACGUGCCAGCAGCCGCGGUAAUACGUAGGUCCCGAGCGUUGUCCGGAUUUAUUGGGCGUAAAGCGAGCGCAGGCGGUUUGAUAAGUCUGAAGUUAAAGGCUGUGGCUCAACCAUAGUUCGCUUUGGAAACUGUCAAACUUGAGUGCAGAAGGGGAGAGUGGAAUUCCAUGUGUAGCGGUGAAAUGCGUAGAUAUAUGGAGGAACACCGGUGGCGAAAGCGGCUCUCUGGUCUGUAACUGACGCUGAGGCUCGAAAGCGUGGGGAGCGAACAGGAUUAGAUACCCUGGUAGUCCACGCCGUAAACGAUGAGUGCUAGGUGUUGGAUCCUUUCCGGGAUUCAGUGCCGCAGCUAACGCAUUAAGCACUCCGCCUGGGGAGUACGACCGCAAGGUUGAAACUCAAAGGAAUUGACGGGGGCCCGCACAAGCGGUGGAGCAUGUGGUUUAAUUCGAAGCAACGCGAAGAACCUUACCAGGUCUUGACAUCCCGAUGCUAUUUCUAGAGAUAGAAAGUUACUUCGGUACAUCGGUGACAGGUGGUGCAUGGUUGUCGUCAGCUCGUGUCGUGAGAUGUUGGGUUAAGUCCCGCAACGAGCGCAACCCCUAUUGUUAGUUGCCAUCAUUCAGUUGGGCACUCUAGCGAGACUGCCGGUAAUAAACCGGAGGAAGGUGGGGAUGACGUCAAAUCAUCAUGCCCCUUAUGACCUGGGCUACACACGUGCUACAAUGGUUGGUACAACGAGUUGCGAGUCGGUGACGGCGAGCUAAUCUCUUAAAGCCAAUCUCAGUUCGGAUUGUAGGCUGCAACUCGCCUACAUGAAGUCGGAAUCGCUAGUAAUCGCGGAUCAGCACGCCGCGGUGAAUACGUUCCCGGGCCUUGUACACACCGCCCGUCACACCACGAGAGUUU